rnacentral:rRNA from 1 species
AUGAACGCUGGCGGCGUGCCUAAUACAUGCAAGUCGCGCGAACGGACGAGAAGCUUGCUUCUCUGAUGUUAGCGGCGGACGGGUGAGUAACACGUGGAUAACCUACCUAUAAGACUGGGAUAACUUCGGGAAACCGGAGCUAAUACCGGAUGAUAUUUUGAACCGCAUGGUUCAAAAGUGAAAGACGGUCUUGCUGUCACUUAUAGAUGGAUCCGCGCUGCAUUAGCUAGUUGGUAAGGUAACGGCUUACCAAGGCAACGAUGCAUAGCCGACCUGAGAGGGUGAUCGGCCACACUGGAACUGAGACACGGUCCAGACUCCCACGGGAGGCAGCAGUAGGGAAUCUUCCGCAAUGGGCGAAAGCCUGACGGAGCAACGCCGAGUGAGUGAUGAAGGUCUUCGGAUCGUAAAACUCUGUUAUUAGGGAAGAACAUAUGUGUAAGUAACUGUGCACAUCUUGACGGUACCUAAUCAGAAAGCCACGGCUAACUACGUG